UUCAUACAAAAUCUUUUCAUUUGUGUAAUAUUUAUCUGUUUAGCAAUUUCUCCUUUGAUUUCAGUGAAUAUUUUUUUUUAAUGAAUUUUUUAUUCCCCCUCUGUAUUAAGAAACAUACAUGCAAACUAAAGGGACAUAACUCCAAACAUUAUUCAAAGGAAACUUUCUUGCUCAUCAUUAUAAACUACAUCAUUCAGAAAUGGGCUCUGCGUGUAAAAGAAUCCUCACAAUUUGUGAGAGGUUUGUAUGUGGCAUGUUUGCAAGGCAAAAUUGUGUCCCCGUCCAAUAUUCCAUUAUUUUACAGUGACAGUCAAGACUUCCUGUCCUUCAAUCCUGUCAUCCCAUCUUCCAGGGACUGUAAAACAUAUACAUUGUGCAAUUGUAUAAAUUUUUGAUAGGCCACUUCUAUAAAAAAAAAAAUGGAUUCUGAUAGAACAUAGUCGUACUCCGAACUUGAAGCUACGAUCUCUAUCUCUGAAACUUAUACACAAUGCUUAUUACCACAAAAUACAGAUUGAGUUUGAAUUUGGGUGGCGUUACUUUUACCAUUCUAAAGUUGUGCCCUUUUAUAUAGAGCAGGACACAUUCUCCAUUUUUUUUAUUUCCAAUUUAUGACAUCUGUUUAUUGCAUCAAAGUAUUAACAGUUUUGGAAAUUAACUGAAUUUUGUCACCAAAUGACCUUAGAUCUGAUCCAAAUAACCUUUUGGACGUCAAACAAAAACCACAUUUUAAUUGUGACAUCAAAUUAAAUAAAAUUGUGAUGUCAAAGUUCAUGGGAACUUGUGUAAGUUUACGUAAUGGAGGACAAUUUUGCAUACAAUUGUAAUUGCAUCUAUUGAAUUGACUAUUUCCUGUAUUCAAAGUAUACUGUUGUAUCUUGCCUUGAUUAUUUUCAGGUCAGAUUACCAAACCAUUAUGCAUGUACAUGUAAAUCUUUGUCAAAUUAUUUGCUCACAUUAAGAUAUAUAGAUACUUGAUAAUCCAAAGUGCUGAGA
rnacentral:lncRNA from 1 species